rnacentral:rRNA from 1 species
GAUGAACGCUGGCGGCGUGCCUAAUACAUGCAAGUCGAGCGAAUGGAUUAAGAGCUUGCUCUUAUGAAGUUAGCGGCGGACGGGUGAGUAACACGUGGGUAACCUGCCCAUAAGACUGGGAUAACUCCGGGAAACCGGGGCUAAUGCCGGAUAACAUUUUGAACCGCAUGGUUCGAAAUUGAAAGGCGGCUUCGGCUGUCACUUAUGGAUGGACCCGCGUCGCAUUAGCUAGUUGGUGAGGUAACGGCUCACCAAGGCAACGAUGCGUAGCCGCCCUGAGAGGGUGAUCGGCCACACUGGGACUGGGACACGGCCCAGACUCCUACGGGGGGCAGCAGUAGGGAAUCUUCCGCAAUGGACGAAAGUCUGACGGAGCAACGCCGCGUGAGUGAUGAAGGCUUUCGGGUCGUAAAACUCUGUUGUUAGGGAAGAACAAGUGCUAGUUGAAUAAGCUGGCACCUUGACGGUACCUAACCAGAAAGCCACGGCUAACUACGUGCCAGCCGCCGCGGUAA